rnacentral:rRNA from 1 species
CCGCUGAAUUUAAGCAUAUCAGUAAGCGGAGGAAAAGAAACUAACAAGGAUUCCCUUAGUAAUGGCGAGUGAACAGGGAAUAGCUCAGAACCGAAUCCCUCAGCUUUUAGUUGUUGGGAAAUGUGGUGUUUGGGUUUGCUUUCGCGGCGGUUUGCUCAUCGUAGAUCCACAUGAUUGUGGUUCAUUGCCCAUAGAGGGUGUAAGGCCCGUAACGAUGAAGUGACUGCUGCUUGGGCAAAACCCUAGAGUCGGGUUGUUUGGGAUUGCAGCCCAAAGUGGGUGGUAAACUCCAUCCAAAGCUAAAUAUGAGCAUGAGUCCGAUAGUAAACAAGUACCGUGAGGGAAAGUUGAAAAGGACUUUGAAGAGAGAGUUCAAUAGUACGUGAAACCGCUCAGAGGUAAGCGGGUAGAGCCCAAAUUAGCUUGUGGUUUUAGAUUCUUCUGAUGCUAGCAUGCUGCUUGACGGACUUGUCUGACGUCGGUGGUAUGACUGGGUGUUGGUUGGUCGAUUGCCACUUGCUUUAACUACCAUCAGCGAGUGAUGGGUUGGCUGUGGAGUUGCUGCUGGCCGGUGCUUUUAUUAGUGCUGGUUUAGACACUUUGCGCUUGCCUGUUGGUUGCUGGGCUAAACGACAUAAUUUGUGCAAGUGUACGCACGAUUCGUUAACUGGCAGGUGACUCCCAAAGAGUUGCUUUGCUUGUUAGUGGGUUGACGUGUGCAUCUCUGUGCUUAUGUCAGCAAUGGUGGUUAUUUGUAGGCCGUCUACCCGGCCCGUCUUGAAACACGGACCAAGGAGUCUAACACAUACGCGAGUCAUUGGGUAGUACGAAACCUACUGGCGUACUGAAAGGAAAGGUCUGCUUUGGUAGACUCAGGUGAGAUCUGCGUUCUCUUGGGGAUGCAGCGCAUCACCGGCUCGUCUCAUGCUUUUUAAGUGGGGCGAAGCAAGAGCGUAUGUGUUGGGACCCGAAAGAUGGUGAACUAUGCUUGCGUAGGCUGAAGCCAAGUGAAAACUUGGUGGAGGGCCGAAGCGCUUCUGACGUGCAAAUCGAUCGUCAAACGUGAGUAUAGGGGCGAAAGACUAAUCGAACCAUCUAGUAGCUGGUUACUUCCGAAGUUUCCCUCAGGAUAGCUGGCACUCGGGAAACAAACAGUUUUAUCCGGUAAAGCGAAUGAUUAGAAGUAUUGGGGGUGAAAUGCCCUCAACUUAUUCUCAAACUUUAAAUGGGUAAGAUGCUCCACUCGCUUGACUGGAGUGGGGCCAUGAAUGUGAGUGCCCAGUGGGCCAUUUUUGGUAAGCAGAACUGGCGAUGUGGGAUGAACCAAACGUGGCGGUUACGGUGCCUGACAUGACGCUCAUCAGAUACCACAAAAGGUGUUGGUUGAUAUAGACAGCAGGACGGUGGCCAUGGAAGUCGGAAUCCGCUAAUGAGUGUGUAACAACUCACCUGCCGAAUCAACCAGCCCUGAAAAUGGAUGGCGCUGGAGCGUCGGACCUAUACCGCGCCCUUACUGCGAUGCAUGGCAUGGAUGUAGUAAGGAGUAGGAAGUCGACGAGGUAAGCAUGGAAGCUGCGGUCGUAGGGCCGAGUCGAGCUGCCUCGUGUGCAGAUCUUGGUGGUAGUAGCAAGUAUUCAAGUGAGACUCUUGAAGGCCGACGUGGAGAAGGGUUCCAUGUGAACAGC